AUCUUUGCGCAGAGGCGAUAUCAUAGCCAAUGAGGUUUAUCCGAGGCGUGAUUAUUGCUAGUUGAAAACUUAUCCCAAUACCCCGCACAAGCGAUGUGGAAAUAUCGUUGCUUGAUGCAAUUUGUGACCGUUCUUCGGAAC